GACGAACGCUGGCGGCGGGCUUAACACAUGCAAGUCGAACGGAAAGGCCCUGCUUUUGUGGGGUGCUCGAGUGGCGAACGGGUGUGUAACACGUGAGUAACCUGCCCUUGACUUUGGGAUAACUUCAGGAAACUGGGGCUAAUACCGGAUAGGAGCUCCUGCUGCAUGGUGGGGGUUGGAAAGUUUCGGCGGUUGGGGAUGGACUCGCGGCUUAUCAGCUUGUUGGUGGGGUAGUGGCUUACCAAGGCUUUGACGGGUAGCCGGCCUGAGAGGGUGACCGGCCACAUUGGGACUGAGAGACGGCCCAGACUCCUACGGGAGGCAGCAGUGGGGAAUAUUGCACAAUGGGCGGAAGCCUGAUGCAGCAACGCCGCGUGCGGGAUGACGGCCUUCGGGUUGUAAACCGCUUUCGCCUGUGACGAAGCGUGAGUGACGGUAAUGGGUAAAGAAGCACCGGCUAACUACGUG
rnacentral:rRNA from 1 species